AAUAGGGAAGUAUUGUGCAAUUGCCCAAGCCCCAAAGUAUACUUUUUCUUCUUUCCAGAACAUUCACUUGCUCAUUCAGUGACUACGUUUUGAUCUUUGAUUUCUCUGCUUCAUUUGAUUUUAUCACAGUGGCUUCUGCAGUCAGCGUAGAUUUCUCAUUUCUCCAUCUAGUUUGUUUCUCAAUAUUCAUAGCUAAUUUGACGAUUUUGCUGUCCAUCGGUUAGCUUCUAAUAUUUGGAUAGUGCUCUUAGUGCUCGAGGUGCACAUAUGCAUAGCCAAAGAUCUGCAACACUUCCGCCAGCUAGUUGUUUUCCUAGUUCACAGCACUCAGCAUGAUCACUCACUCCUGAAGAAGUAACUAAGAUUCCUUGCUAGAGUAAUGAGUUCAUUCUUGAAAUUUUGCGUAGAGUACGGUUACAUUUUGAGAAGUUCAUUGAAAAUCUAAAGAGAAUGGUACUCCGGGCAUUUUUCGGAGUUGGUCAAGAUUGUGUAUGACAAUUAUCAGCUAUAUGCCAAAGUUGUAAAAUUCAUUGAUGACAAAUCCCAUUUGACUGAAGACAAAAUUUCAGCAUUAACUGAAAUAGUUGGAGAUGAAAAUAAAGCAAAAGAAAUUGUAGAAACUGCUAAAGCAUCCAUGGGUAUGAUAUCAUCCUUUCUCAAGUCAUGAAAAGGAUGCUCAUUAUUCUCACGACUGGAUUUGUCACCAGUUGACUUGAUUAAUGUCAAACUAUUUAGUAAUGGACCUUGUUGAAUACAGGAAGAAUCUUUAUGAUUAUCUGGUCGCCAAAAUCUUUUUGAUAUUGGCAACUGUGUAUUUUUCGUGAGAUGAGUUUGAAAGUAUCGGUAUAUGUAUUUAUACAAUUAAAAUAAUUUUUGAAUUGCAGUUGAGAUAAAGAUUAGUUGAAA